UGCAAACAAAUAAUACAAUAAAAAAAAACUACCACCCAUCGCCUAAAACCUCCACUCCUCAUAAUCCAAAUUCUUCCAUCAAUUACACCUAAAUUCCCUUCAAUUCUCAAUUGAAAAAACUGGAGAUUUGUCUUCCGCAAUUUGAUCUUUAAUCACAAUACGAAACAAUCCUCUCUAUUAAGAAUUUCUUAAUUUUUCGACUCAAAUUAGUCAGUAAGAAGCGUAUUUAUGAUGAUCGUUGUUUUUUAAUUCCGCUAUUUCGUAAUCCUGGAAUUUGUGAUUCAACUUCGUCCAUUCUUUUCUUUGUAAUCGAUCUUAGGGCUUUCACAUUGUUCGUCGAUUUCAGGUGUGGCUUGUGUUGUUGUUAGCACCUUGAAUAACAUUGUCUAUACGUGGAUUAAUUAGUACUUUCUUGGGAUUCCUAGCACUUAUUCCCAAGAGAUGGUUGACGAGCUAAGAGAUACGUGCGUGAAAUAUUUAAACAAUCAAACACGAGACGGUGGAGAUUGAAGACAAUGGUCAAGUUUCAAUUGUACAUAUUAUUAGCUCAAGUUAGAAUUUUGAUUUUAGUAGAUAUCAUUAGAUUAUAGAAAUUUUAUUUUUAAGACAUUAAUUAUUGGAAUAAAUUGAUGCUUUGACUAGUGAAAUUGAUUUUGUAUGUAAAUUAAAUGUAGCAAAUACUUUUUACAUUAUUAAUAAAGCAAGCAGGAAUUUUUGUUUCAUAA